UUGUGGGGAGACGCCUUGGCUCGAGGGAGCCGCCAUUUUGUUUCUGUCACUAGCAGCGGCGCGGGUUUGGUGUUCUCGUCGGUAAGGAAACGUGGAGGAGGAGGAAGCGGCGGCUAGGCCGACCGACCGGCGGACACCAUGAUUUCGGCUGCCCAGCUUUUGGACGAGCUUAUGGGCCGGGAUCGUAACUUGGCCCCGGACGAGAAGCGCAGCAACGUGCGGUGGGACCAUGAAAGCGUUUGUAAAUACUACCUUUGUGGAUUUUGUCCUGCUGAAUUGUUCACAAACACCCGUUCCGACUUAGGUCCAUGUGAAAAAAUCCAUGAUGAAAACCUCAGAAAACAGUAUGAGAAGAGUUCUCGGUUCAUGAAAGUAGGCUAUGAAAGAGAUUUCCUUCGCUACUUACAGAGCUUGCUUGCAGAAGUUGAACGCCGAAUUCGAAGAGGCCAUGCCCGCUUAGCAUUGUCCCAGAAUCAGCAGUCUUCAGGUCAAGCAGCAGGACCUACUGGUAAAAACGAAGAGAAGAUUCAGGUCUUAACUGACAAAAUUGAUGUACUUCUACAACAGAUUGAAGAACUGGGUUCUGAAGGAAAGGUGGAAGAGGCUCAAGGCAUGAUGAAACUCGUUGAGCAGUUAAAAGAAGAGAGAGAGUUGCUCAGGUCUACAACUUCAACAAUUGAGAGCUUUGCUGCUCAGGAAAAGCAGAUGGAAGUUUGUGAAGUUUGUGGAGCCUUUUUAAUUGUAGGAGAUGCACAGUCCAGGGUAGAUGAUCAUUUGAUGGGAAAACAGCAUAUGGGCUAUGCUAAAAUCAAGGCUACGGUUGAAGAAUUAAAAGAAAAAUUAAGAAAAAGAACUGAAGAGCCUGAUCGUGAUGAUAGAUUAAAAAAGGAGAAACUAGAACGAGAAGAGCGAGAGAGGGAACGUGAAAGAGAGGAGAGAGAGAGAAAACGGCGGCGUGAGGAAGAAGAAAAGGAAAAAGAGAGAGCUCGUGAUAGGGAGAGGCGGAAGAGGAGUCGUUCACGAAGCAGACAUUCGAGCAGAACUUCUGAUAGGAGAGGAAGUCGGUCAAGGGACCAUAAAAGAUCAAGAAGCAAGGAAAGAAGGCGAAGCAGGAGUCGAGAUCGGCGCCGAAGUAGAAGUCACGACAGGUCAGACAGAAAACACAGAUCACGUAGCAGGGACAGAAGGCGGUCAAAGAGCCGGGAUCGGAAAUCUUACAAGCACAGAAGCAAAAGCAGAGACCGAGAACAAGACAGGAAAUCUAAGGAGAAAGAAAAGAGGGGAUCUGAUGAUAAAAAAAGUAGUGCGAAGUCCAGUAGUCGAGAAAAACAGAGUGAAGAUGCAAGCACAGACUCCAAGGAAGGCGAUGCUAAGAAUGAGGUCAAUGGGACCAAUGAAGACAUUAAAUCUGAAGGUGACACUCAGUCCAAUUAAAACUGAUCUGAUAUGACCUCAGAUCAGACAGAGGUAAGUGCAUUAUUUCAAACUUUGAUUAGGGCUUUUUGUUACUGUUUAACAGUUCAGCGUAAGUAUGUACAGAUGAAGACGGAGCUAAGCCAAGUAUGAAGAGAUACUAAAGCACCUUCUGAAGGAAAACACAGUGUAGCCCUGCAAAAUCUUUUGAGGUACAUUGUUUUGUAUCGGCUAUUUUGUAGCAGACUCCUACCCCAACCCGUUAGUGUGCCUCUUGGGAACAUAUUUGUAAUAGAGUCACCCUGGAAGUUAAUUGUCCUAUUUUUUUUUUUAUUUUAGGGGAUUUAUCUUUUUUUAAAAAAAAAACAACUUAAACUGAUUUUGUAAUUAAGUCCAUAUUGUGUUGGUGCAUCAGAAACAUUUGCUUUAAUACUUAAUAUUUGAGGCACAUGUUGGACUAUUUUGUUUUUAUAUAAACUUGCUAGUAUUUCUUUGUCAAGGAUGUUUCUAGUUUUUUUGCUUUGCCUUGCAUUCUAAUGCAGUUUGUUCUGUAACUCGAGAGCCAGUAGCAUUGGAUUGAUGGAAGUGUAGGGUUUAUGAAUAAUUGCAGCUGACUACCAUACCUCACACAGCGUUGGUGUUGUGAGCGGCCCAUGAAAAGCCAAAUUAAAAAUCAAGGAUUCAGUCAAACUAAGCAGGUACUCAUGCCAGGUACUCCUUUCUCUACCCACAUCCAUGUUUGAAUGCUGUUGCCUGUAAUCUUUAAGCUUACUGUUUUGUGUGUUGAUACAAAAAGUGAAAAAGGAAUCUUUGUACAUAUUUUGUGGAAAAAUUGUUAACAUGCAAUUAACUUGAUGGAAUUUUCUUUCAACUGUGUGUAGGGAUGCAGUGCUGCCCAGAAUUAGAUAUUAAGCGUAUUAAAUGCAAUAAAUACUACAUAAUAAUCGCCUUGUUACAUUCAAUGCAUUUCAAGUCUUUAAGAGGUAUGUGUUUAUAAUUUCCUACUGCGUAGGAGAAUUGCCAGGCAGCCAUGGCACACAGCGACCUAUACUGGCUGAUACCAGACUUGGGAGGCAAAUGAAAAUAAAGGCCAAUUCAGAAACACCCAAUAGGACAACCACGAGACAUGUCUGCGAAGAAUCCUGAAGACUGCAUAAUCUGAAGAUCUGCUAUAAAAUGAGGUGAAAGAAAGCUGUAGUGGCAUAGAAACAAAUUAAAGUUCGGUUAGAUUUUUUUAAAUAAAAAGUAAUUCAGAGGACUGUUGUGACCUCUCAGCACUGCAGAGAGAUGUUAAUAAGCAAACACGCUACUGAGAAUUUUAAGUUCUUUAUCAUUUUUUUCCCUAUAAGACUUUUAAGGUUAUAAACCAACAUAACCUGAACACAUGGCUUGCUCAGUGUUUAACUGCAAGUUUUCAUUCUUGAACUUUGAAACAAAGGAUAAAUGUUUAGUAUUGUGUGACUCAGACUAAAACCCAUUUUUACAAGGCUACACCUAGCUUCUUGAUAUACCCAAAUGGAGAAAGUAUCUAUGAAUUUCUGUUACACAUUUGAUUGUCAUUGAGUGUUUAAUAUUAAAAUAGAGUUCUUUCCAAAUAAA